UACGUAGGGGGCAAGCGUUGUCCGGAAUCAUUGGGCGUAAAGAGCGUGUAGGCGGCCCGAUAAGUCCGCCGUGAAAGUCCAGGGCUCAACCCUGGAAUGCCGGUGGAUACUGCCGGGCUGGAGUCCGGAAGAGGCGAGUGGAAUUCCUGGUGUAGCGGUGAAAUGCGCAGAUAUCAGGAGGAACACCAAUGGCGAAGGCAGCUCGCUGGGACGGUACUGACACUGAGACGCGAAAGCGUGGGGAGCAAACAGG
rnacentral:rRNA from 1 species